CCACGGACGGAAAAUAAACCAAAUAUUUUUCAUCUCCGUGAAAUACAUUUAGUAGAUAAAAAAAAGCAAUUAUCGAAAAAAUAACAAGUGAGCUUUGUUGGUGGAAUAGUUAUCGUCAGUCAUCCCCAAAAAAUUACCACAUAAUAACUGCGGAUACAUUUUUACAGGAUGUGGAUGUGCAAAGUAACUGAAACUGACUAAUUUGAGUUUGACAGGUGAAAGUGAAAAUGAUCAAAGGCUUAUCAAAUAAAGCCACGGGUACGGAUACCUGGGCAUGGGUGCAUCACAGCGGACUAAAGUGGUCCAACUCGUCAGAAAGUAAAAAAAAACUGUAAGUUGUGUAGCAGCCUAAGUCACAGUGAUACCUGUGAUCUCAAACUCUCAAACAAACGCCACCGAACUGGUAGAAAUGAGAGCGAAUAAUAAUUAUGUGAGCCAUUAUUAAGAAAAAGAAAUGCGUUUUUGCAUGUUCUUUGUAAACGGAUAAAUAGGCCUACAACUUCAUUUCUUCAAAAUAUAAUUGCUAAUUUACCUAGUCGAUCUCGUUUGCUUGCAUUAAAAAAUUCAUUCCACGGGAUCACAAUAACAUUCCAUCCCAUGCACUGAAGUUGACGAACUUUCAUCCGCAGCGGACCCAUCGGCUGAUCACUGAACCUUGAAAACAUGUUCCUAGAUCCACCCACCAAAACACAGCGCUGAACUCCACAAUUGUCUUUCGAUAAGGAAUUUAUUUCGCGAAACCCUAACCUGGCGUAGUAAAAUGUGGCUGCAGAUAAACCAACGAAGCAGGACUGUUUUCUCCAAGAAUAUCCUUCACCGUAUUCAAUAGCGACACGAGAAAAGCAUCAUGACUGUUUAAUAAGCUUGGGUCGUCCAUAUUCGGCAAGGGUUUUCUGUACAGCUAUAAAAAUAACAGUAAAUCAUUAUCCCAAAA